UACGUAGGGACCGAGCGUUGUCCGGAUUCAUUGGGCGUAAAGAGCUCGUAGGCGGCCACUCAAGUCGAAUGUGAAACCUCGAGGCUCAACCUCGAGCCUGCAUUCGAUACUGGGCGGCUAGAGUCUGGUAGGGGGAUCUGGAAUUCCUGGUGUAGCGGUGGAAUGCGCAGAUAUCAGGAGGAACACCUGCGGCGAAGGCGGGUUGCUGGGCCGACACUGACGCUGAAGCGCGAAAGCCAGGGGAGCGAACGGG
rnacentral:rRNA from 1 species